rnacentral:rRNA from 1 species
UAAGGAAUAUUGGUCAAUGGACGCAAGUCUGAACCAGCCAUGCCGCGUGGAGGAUGAAGGUCCUCUGGAUUGUAAACUUCUUUUAUCUGGGACGAAACACUUCUUUUCUAAGAGGCCUGACGGUACCAGAUGAAUAAGCACCGGCUAACUCCGUGCCAGCAGCCGCGGUAAUACGGAGGGUGCAAGCGUUAUCCGGAUUCACUGGGUUUAAAGGGUGCGUAGGUGGGUAUGUAAGUCAGUGGUGAAAUCCCCGAGCUUAACUUGGGAACUGCCAUUGAUACUAUAUAUCUUGAAUACCGUAGAGGUAAGCGGAAUAUGUCAUGUAGCGGUGAAAUGCUUAGAUAUGACAUGGAACACCAAUUGCGAUGGCAGCUUACUAUGCGGUGAUUGACACUGAGGCACGAAAGCGUGGGUAGCAAACA